UUUUUGUCAAUUAUGGAAAUCUUUUCCCAAAUGAAAUAUUUGGUGGGGACAUAAGAAAUAUCUUAGAAGCAGAGCUCUGGUUGACCAGGGGUGAGGGGGGUCUCAGUCUUCCAGCCCCCUAGUGGCACCUCCCAUCCCACACUGCGUCUUAGCGGUAGUGGCUCCUGCUUCUGAGUGGGUAUCAGGGGUCCUGGUGUUUUUGAUUAUGUUGCACCCUAACACCUACCAGCCCAGAGGCUACCAUGUUGAUUCUUCUGAACAAAGAAGCCCUGGCAUAUUAUGGAUGCUCAGGUGAUAUUAGAUGAUCAUUAGUAAUUGAUUUUUUUUUCUUUUUUUUGAGACGGCGCCUCGCUCUGUCGCCAGGCUGGAGUGUAGUGGCGCCAUCUUGGCUCACUGCAACUUCCGCCUCCCGGGUUCAAGCGAUUCUCCUGACUCAGCCUCCCACCACGCCCAACUAAUUUUUGUAUUUUUAGUAGAGAUGGGGUUUCACCAUGUUGGCCAAGAAGAUCUCAAUCUCUUGACCUCGUGAUCCACCCACCUUGGCCUCCCAAAGUGCUGGGAUUAGAGGCGUGAGCCAACGCGCCCAGCCAAUAAUUGAUUUUAAAUAAGAAUACAUGGACAGGUACAGCUCAGUUGUUCCAGAGAUGGGCAUCAGAGGGGAAAUGGAAGCAGGGAGACAGCCUAUUGAUGAUGAGAGGAAGACAAGACAGAGGGCAGAGAGAUGGGAGUGGCCCUAUAGUUAAGAGUUGCCAGAUAAAAUACAGGACACCCAGUUACAUUUGAAUUUCAGACAAACUCCAUGGAACAUGCUUAGAUGAAAGAAUGAUUCAUUGUUUAUUGAAAUUUGAUGUAACUGGGCAUCCUGUAUUUUCAUUUGCUGAAUCUGGCAACCAGACCUAGAGUUCCUUUCUAAAGGGACACUUUUCUCAGCAGCUUGGAUUCCAAGGGUCUCACUCUAGGUUAGACCCCCAUUUAGAUUCGCUCUGGAGAGUUUUCUGAAGUCAGACUACCUGGGUUCAAACCCUGGAUCUGCCACUGCUGGCUGCGUAACCCUGGACAAAUGACUUAAUCUCUCUCUAUUCUCUGUUUUCCUAUUCUAGAAAGUGGGGUUAGGAAUAAGAGCCAACCUCAAAGGGCUGCUCUGAGGAUCAGAGGAGAAAACAGCUGCAUAGAUUAAGCACAUAGAAAGAGCUCAUUAAAGGUACUUUCUAUUCUUGGCUGUGCUUCUGGGUCUCAGUAACUUCCCUCUCUGCCUGGAUUUGCUCCUGGCCAUUUUCUUGGAGAGUGAGACCCAUCCAGAGGGGAAUGUGGGACAAGGAGGGAGGAGGAAGUAAGGACUGAGAAGGCCCAGAGACGUGCCUUCCUCUUCUUUCCAGGGUCCUGGCCUGUCUUGUCUGUUGGGCGGGUAUGCUUCCUUCCUGGCCUUCCUUGUGGAGCAUGUCUGGGAGUGUGCUAGGAAAUGAGGGAGGAAAAUAUGUAACUUGAUAUCUGCUCCUUGACCCUGGCUGACCUGGUUAACUCUCUCCAGGAUGGAAGCAAAGCCUGCCCGGGAAACCUUCCAUUGCAGGAACAUCUCGGCCUGAAGCUGUCAUCAGGGAGCAGGAUCUGCUUCCCGGACUCUGAGCAGAACAAUGGGAGCCCCAGCAGGCUGGCGAGGCUGACAAGCCCUAGGACGGUGACCUCUCCGAUCUCCAGAUCGGAAACUCAGAAACGUGUAAGUGCCAGAAUCCGCAUUUGGGAAUCUGUUAUUUCUCCCUCUGCGAGUCAACCUGAUCACCCUGGAAGCCUCACUGUCUCUCAGCCCUUGUUCCCAUUUUUCUUUCCAUGAACACCGCAAUCAGAUACGAGAUUCCAGUAAUGAUGGUUCUUGAAAAUUAAACAAAUCAAAAAGAAAGCCAGCCAAGGUAUGGAGUGGGGGACCUCUAAGUUCCCCUGGAGGAGACACUGGGGCCAGGUUCCGAGGUGCAUUCGGAGCCAGAAUCCCUAAUGGAAUUGAACAAUUAUCCUGAAGCUGCUCUCUGAAAGCCGCGGUUUUCCUAAAACACUGUGCUUGGCGUGCCUGGGCUUCUUGGCACUGGCCCAUGACCCACAGCAGCAAAUCGUUCCCAGGAAGCUAUUGUUAUUUGUGUAUCUGAUAGCAUUCAGCUGAGUACACUGACAGCAACAUUUAGAAAGGAAAAGAAAAAAGAAGCGUAGAGUGAAAAGGACAAAAAGGAGGCUUCCAACAUCCUGGUGGGAACAGAAAACCAGCAAAGCCUCUUUUCCAGCCCUUAUCCUUGUGAGUUUGGACUCUGCAGAACUGUCAUCCCCCAGGCAUAGCUGCAGCUUGUAUGAAGGUGGGCAUCAGGCGCGGAGAUUCAGGACAGUGUGCACCUGCUUUCCUCCAACGGGACCCCCUCUGUUCUUCCCAGGAAUGCCUGUAAACUGCCACUGCCUCUAGGGGCUGCACCAAGUCCCUGUGUACUCCCAGGACACAAUGGAGUGGAAUGGAGUGGCUCUGUUCUGUCAGGGCCUAACAUUCCAAAUGAAUUCAUUCCCUUCUGGGAAAAAAGAACCACCUUGCUCAGAGCACAAUGUUCCCAUGUCUUGGCUUACCUUGAAGCAUUUUUGAUACACCUGUUGGGACAAUGCGUUCUGCCAAGAGAAGGGAAGUAGCAUACUUUGUUCUAUUUUUUACUCUCAAUGGGCUACGUUUCCAUUGUGUUGGUUUCCCUUACAGAAAGUAACACACACAGAAGAGAAGGUUAUAGGAUUCCAUGCUGCUUGGCAAAGGCACAAAAUAUGUGCACAUAUUUACAUGGAAUAUGAGGGUAAACUAGAAAAUUAAGGGUAAUCUAAAAUAGAAAAAAAGAAGAAAACAAUAAGUUAAAAGUAUGAAAAGACAUCCAGAAUGAGCAAGUUACUGAGGUUGUGCCUCAACUUUAGCUUGAGUUUCCUGGCAGCAAAGGUAAAAAGGUGAUCUUACAGCUGGAAAAUCAGUGGGUGAAAACGGAGAUACAGCAACUCUAAUUUUCCAUGAAGUUCAUUUUUACUUUACUUCUGGAAUAAAAACCAUCUGGCUUUAGAAGGAAGAGACCAUACAGAAGGAUGUGGGCUUGACACAGUGACGGGCUCUUGGCAGUCUGAAGAAGCAUGAACCAGAACUAAGCCUGGUCUCUCAGGAUUUGGUGGAUGUCUAAGUUGCAGGGUUAAGAAGUUGCAGUUCCUUCUUUCAACUCAACCUCUAGCAGUUGGAUACAGAAGCAAUUGUCGAACCUGGGCACCUAAGGGGACAGGACUGUCAGUGUCCUGGAAAUCAUGUUCUUCUCUUUGGUUUUCACCACCUCUUAAUGGCAUAUCUUCUAUAUUUCCUUUAAUGCGAACACAGGUAACGAGUUGGUUAUAACCCUUUUCUCAGGGCCAGGCUGCCAUGCCAUCGCUCCUCCAGAGAGCAAACACGAAACAUGAUCCUAUGGCAAGAACAUACAAUGCCAGGUCCCUGGAUUUAGGUCCUGCUCUGUCAUUGACUGUAUAUUCCCAUAAAGAAGAUUAAAACUC